GAGUUUGAUCCUGGCUCAGGAUGAACGCUAGCGGCAGGCUUAACACAUGCAAGUCGAGGGGUAACGGGGAAGCUUGCUUCCGCCGACGACCGGCGCACGGGUGCGUAACGCGUAUACAAUCUACCUUGUACUGGGGUAUAGCCUUUAGAAAUGAAGAUUAACCCCCCAUAGUCUCUUAGAGUGGCAUCACUUCUAGAGUAAAGGUUACGGUAUAAGAUGAGUAUGCGUUCUAUUAGUUUGUUGGUGUGGUAACGGCACACCAAGACUACGAUAGAUAGGGGCCCUGAGAGGGGGAUCCCCCACACUGGUACUGAGACACGGACCAGACUCCUACGGGAGGCAGCAGUGAGGAAUAUUGGACAAUGGAGGCAACUCUGAUCCAGCCAUGCCGCGUGCAGGAAGACUGCCCUAUGGGUUGUAAACUGCUUUUAUACAGGAAGAAACACCUCUACGUGUAGAGGCUUGACGGUACUGUAAGAAUAAGGAUCGGCUAACUCCGUGCCAGCAGCCGCGGUAAUACGGAGGAUCCAAGCGUUAUCCGGAAUCAUUGGGUUUAAAGGGUCCGUAGGUGGAUAAUUAAGUCAGAGGUGAAAUCUUGCAGCUCAACUGUAAAAUUGCCUUUGAAACUGGUUAUCUUGAGUUAUUAUGAAGUAGUUAGAAUAUGUAGUGUAGCGGUGAAAUGCAUAGAUAUUACAUAGAAUACCAAUUGCGAAGGCAGAUUACUAAUAAUCAACUGACACUGAUGGACGAAAGCGUGGGUAGCGAACAGGAUUAGAUACCCUGGUAGUCCACGCCGUAAACGAUGGUUACUAGCUGUUUGGACUUCGGUCUGAGUGGCUAAGCGAAAGUGAUAAGUAACCCACCUGGGGAGUACGUUCGCAAGAAUGAAACUCAAAGGAAUUGACGGGGGCCCGCACAAGCGGUGGAGCAUGUGGUUUAAUUCGAUGAUACGCGAGGAACCUUACCAGGGCUUAAAUGUAAGUUGCAUUAGUUAGAGAUAGCUAUUUCUUCGGACCACUUACAAGGUGCUGCAUGGUUGUCGUCAGCUCGUGCCGUGAGGUGUCAGGUUAAGUCCUAUAACGAGCGCAACCCCUGUUGUUAGUUGCCAGCGAGUCAUGUCGGGAACUCUAGCAAGACUGCCAGUGCAAACUGUGAGGAAGGUGGGGAUGACGUCAAAUCAUCACGGCCCUUACGUCCUGGGCUACACACGUGCUACAAUGGUAGGUACAGAGAGCAGCCACUGCGCGAGCAGGAGCGAAUCUACAAAACCUAUCACAGUUCGGAUCGGAGUCUGCAACUCGACUCCGUGAAGCUGGAAUCGCUAGUAAUCGGAUAUCAGCCAUGAUCCGGUGAAUACGUUCCCGGGCCUUGUACACACCGCCCGUCAAGCCAUGGAAGCUGGGAGUGCCUGAAGUCGGUCACCGCAAGGAGCCGCCUAGGGUAAAACUGGUAACUAGGGCUAAGUCGUAACAAGGUAGCCGUACCGGAAGGUGCGGCU
rnacentral:rRNA from 1 species